rnacentral:rRNA from 1 species
UACAGAGGUGGCAAGCGUUGUUCGGAAUUACUGGGCGUAAAGGGCGCGUAGGUGGCCCUCUUAGUCAGACGUGAAAUCCCCAGGCUUAACCUGGGAACUGCGUCUGAUACUGGAAGGCUCGAGUUCGGGAGAGGAAUGUGGAAUUCCAGGUGUAGCGGUGAAAUGCGUAGAUAUCUGGAGGAACACCGGUGGCGAAGGCGGCAUUCUGGACCGAAACUGACGCUGAGGCGCGAAAGCCAGGGGAGCAAACGGG